GAGUUUGAUCGUGGCUCAGGAUGAACGCUGGCGGCGUGCUUAACACAUGCAAGUCGAACGAAGCACUUUACUUGAUUUCCUUCGGGAAUGAUUGUUCUGUGACUGAGUGGCGGACGGGUGAGUAACGCGUGGAUAACCUGCCUCACACAGGGGGAUAACAGUUGGAAACGGCUGCUAAUACCGCAUAAGCGCACAGCACCGCAUGGUGCAGUGUGAAAAACUCCGGUGGUGUGAGAUGGAUCCGCGUCUGAUUAGCUUGUUGGCGGGUAAC
rnacentral:rRNA from 1 species